rnacentral:rRNA from 1 species
AGACCCGAAACCCGGUGAUCUAGCCAUGGGCAGGUUGAAGGUUGGGUAACACUAACUGGAGGACCGAACCGACUAAUGUUGAAAAAUUAGCGGAUGACCUGUGGCUGGGGGUGAAAGGCCAAUCAAACCGGGAGAUAGCUGGUUCUCCCCGAAAGCUAUUUAGGUAGCGCCUCGUGAAUUCAUCUCCGGGGGUAGAGCACUGUUUCGGCUAGGGGGCCAUCCCGGCUUACCAACCCGAUGCAAACUGCGAAUACCGGAGAAUGUUAUCACGGGAGACACACGGCGGGUGCUAACGUCCGUCGUGAAGAGGGAAACAACCCAGACCGCCAGCUAAGGUCCCAAAGUCAUGGUUAAGUGGGAAACGAUGUGGGAAGGCCCAGACAGCCAGGAUGUUGGCUUAGAAGCAGCCAUCAUUUAAAGAAAGCGUAAUAGCUCACUGGUCGAGUCGGCCUGCGCGGAAGAUGUAACGGGGCUAAACCAUGCACCGAAGCUGCGGCAGCGACACUAUGUGUUGUUGGGUAGGGGAGCGUUCUGUAAGCCUGUGAAGGUGGCCUGUGAGGGUUGCUGGAGGU